rnacentral:rRNA from 1 species
CAGCUAGUUGGUGAGGUAAUGGCUCACCAAGGCGACGAUCCGUAACUGGUCUGAGAGGAUGAUCAGUCACACUGGAACUGAGACACGGUCCAGACUCCUACGGGAGGCAGCAGUGGGGAAUAUUGGACAAUGGGCGAAAGCCUGAUCCAGCCAUGCCGCGUGUGUGAAGAAGGUCUUCGGAUUGUAAAGCACUUUAAGUUGGGAGGAAGGGCAUUAACCUAAUACGUUGGUGUCUUGACGUUACCGACAGAAUAAGCACCGGCUAACUCUGUGCCAGCAGCCGCGGUAAUACAGAGGGUGCAAGCGUUAAUCGGAAUUACUGGGCGUAAAGCGCGCGUAGGUGGUUUGUUAAGUUGGAUGUGAAAUCCCCGGGCUCAACCUGGGAACUGCAUUCAAAACUGACAAGCUAGAGUAUGGUAGAGGGUGGUGGAAUUUCCUGUGUAGCGGUGAAAUGCCUAGAUAUAGGAAGGAACACCAGUGGCGAAGG